rnacentral:rRNA from 1 species
GCCCGGACUCCUACGGGAGGCAGCAGUGGGAAUAUUGGACAAUGGGGGCAACCCUGAUCCAGCCAUGCGGGUGUUGAAGAAGGCCUUUUGGUUGUAAAGCACUUUAAGCAGUGAAGAAGACUCCGUGGUUAAUACCCACGGACGAUGACAUUAGCUGCAGAAUAAGCACCGGCUAACUCUGUGCCAGCAGCCGCGGUAAUACAGAGGGUGCAAGCGUUAAUCGGAAUUACUGGGCGUAAAGCGAGCGUAGGUGGCUUGAUAAGUCAGAUGUGAAAUCCCCGGGCUUAACCUGGGAACUGCAUCUGAUACUGUUAGGCUAGAAUAGGUGAGAGGAAGGUAGAAUUCCAGGUGUAGCGGUGAAAUGCGUAGAGAUCUGGAGGAAUACCGAUGGCGAAGGCAGCCUUCUGGCAUCAUAUUGACACUGAGGUUCGAAAGCGUGGGUAGCAAACAGGAUUAGAUACCCUGGUAGUCCACGCCGUAAACGAUGUCUACUAGUCGUUGGGUCCCUUGAGGACUUAGUGACGCAGCUAACGCAAUAAGUAGACCGCCUGGGGAGUACGGCCGCAAGGUUAAAACUCAAAUGAAUUGACGGGGGCCCGCACAAGCGGUGGAGCAUGUGGUUUAAUUCGAUGCAACGCGAAGAACCUUACCUGGUCUUGACAUAUCUAGAAUCCUGCAGAGAUGCGGGAGUGCCUUCGGGAAUUAGAAUACAGGUGCUGCAUGGCUGUCGUCAGCUCGUGUCGUGAGAUGUUGGGUUAAGUCCCGCAACGAGCGCAACCCUUGUCCUUAGUUACCAGCGGGUUAAGCCGGGAACUCUAAGGAUACUGCCAGUGACAAACUGGAGGAAGGCGGGGACGACGUCAAGUCAUCAUGGCCCUUACGACCAGGGCUACACACGUGCUACAAUGGUAGGUACAGAGGGCAGCUACACAGCGAUGUGAUGCGAAUCUCAAAAAGCCUAUCGUAGUCCAGAUUGGAGUCUGCAACUCGACUCCAUGAAGUAGGAAUCGCUAGUAAUCGCGGAUCAGAAUGCCGCGGUGAAUACGUUCCCGGGCCUUGUACACACCGCCCGUCACACCAUGGGAGUUGAUUGCACCAGAAGUGGAAUAGCCUAACCCUCGGGAAGGC